UACAGAGGGUGCGAGCGUUGUUCGGAAUUACUGGGCGUAAAGCGCGUGUAGGCGGUUGUUCAAGUCAGGUGUGAAAGCCUUGAGCUCAACUCAAGAAAUGCACUUGAUACUGGAUGACUAGAGGACCGGAGAGGAUAGUGGAAUUCCCAGUGUAGUGGUGAAAUACGUAGAGAUUGGGAAGAACACCAGUGGCGAAGGCGGCUAUCUGGACGGUUUCUGACGCUAAGACGCGAAAGCGUGGGGAGCAAACAGG
rnacentral:rRNA from 1 species